GUAGGUGGCAAGCGUUGUCCGGAAUUAUUGGGCGUAAAGCGCGCGCAGGCGGUUCUUCAAGUCUGAUGUGAAAGCCCACGGCUCAACCGUGGAGGGUCAUUGGAAACUGGAGAACUUGAGUACAGAAGAGGAAAGCGGAAUUCCACGUGUAGCGGUGAAAUGCGUAGAGAUGUGGAGGAACACCAGUGGCGAAGGCGGCUUUCUGGUCUGUAACUGACGCUGAGGCGCGAAAGCGUGGGGGAGCAAACAGGAUUAGAUACCCUGGUAGUCCACGCCGUAAACGAUGAGUGCUAAGUGUUAGGGGGUUUCCGCCCCUUAGUGCUGCAGCUAACGCAUUAAGCACUCCGCCCUGGGAGUACGGCCGCAAGGCUG
rnacentral:rRNA from 1 species